rnacentral:rRNA from 1 species
CCAAUAGCGUAUAUUAAAGUUGUUGCAGUUAAAAAGCUCGUAGUUGAAUUUCGGGACCAGUAUGUUGGUCGUGCUUCGGUACGUACUGUCAUUACUGGUUUCUACCUUCUGAAGAACCUUGAUGUAAUUAAUUUGGUGUCUUGGGUAAUCAGGACUGUUACUUUGAAAAAAUUAGAGUGUUUAACGCAAGCAUACGCUUGAAUACAGUAGCAUGGCAUAAUGAAAUAGGACGUUUGAUUCUAUUUUGUUGGUUUCUAGGAUCGACGUAAUGAUUAAUAGGGAUAGUUGGGGGCACUAGUAUUCAAUUGUCAGAGGUGAAAUUCUUGGAUUUAUUGAAGACUAACUACUGCGAAAGCAUUUGCCAAGGAUGUUUUCAUUAAUCAAGAACGAAAGUUAGGGGAUCGAAGACGAUCAGAUACCGUCGUAGUCUUAACCAUAAACUAUGCCGACUAGGGAUCGGAUGAUGUUAUUUUUAAUGACUCAUUCGGCGCCUUACG